AUGGAAGUGUCGCGCCUCAAAACGUUCAUGAGGAACAAUGCAAGGCUGCAAUCACUUGGACUACCUACAUUAUCAACAUUGUUUGCAAACAAAGCUGUCAUUUCACCUGAAAAAAGAAAGCCCGAGCAUACUUGUGAUGAAUCUGAAGCUGAGUACCAUCCUAACGAGGAGGAUACCAAUGAAGGAGACUCGUCUGAUGAUAGUUUAAUAGAUGAGAGGGAAGUACUGCAAGACUUAAAGUCCACACCAUCUCCUAGCUCAAAGUUGAAGGGGUUGAACGACUGUAAGAAGACCAGUGAGGGAACUAAUAAGAAAAGAUCUACUGCCAUGGCCCCUGGUGGAAUCAAGCCUCGGCCUCCUAAAAGAAUUCAUGCGGAGCUUCCAACGAAUGUGCGAGUCACAAGGUCGAACAAAAGACUAUUACUAGAUGCUGAUGCAAGUCCUCAAAGUGAAGGGGUGUCAGAUCCUAAAUAUCAAACACCAAUUGCAAUCCAUGGCGACCGUGCCCAUUCUGAUGAUGACUACUGGAUGAGCAAUGGAUCUGAUCUCAUUGCCCGUCAUGAUGAUGGCAACCAUAUGGACUUCAAAGCUGGUGGGAAACGAUCCUAUGAGGAGACAAGGGAAAGGGGGGUCAAUAUUGGAAAAGGCCUGGAAAGGAUCAGUCGACGUCGGGGGGGGGGGGCAAGCUGCCGCUUGUCAUUCCAGAAGGGAGGUUAA
rnacentral:rRNA from 1 species